rnacentral:rRNA from 1 species
GAUGAACGCUGGCGGCGUGCCUAAUACAUGCAAGUCGAACGAUAGCCUUUCGGGGCUAUAGUGGCGGACGGGUGAGUAACACGUUGGUACCUACCCCUAAGUGGGGAAUAACUGCCCGAAAGGGUGGCUAAUACCGCAUAAUCCCGCAAGGGUAAAGCAGUAAUGCGCUUAGGGAGGGGCCUGCGUCCCAUUAGCUUGUUGGUAGUGUAAUGGACUACCAAGGCGACGAUGGGUAGCUGGAUCGAGAGGUUGACCAGCCACACUGGGACUGAGAUACGGCCCAGACUCCUACGGGAGGCAGCAGUAAGGAAUCUUCCACAAUGGACGAAAGUCUGAUGGAGCAACGCCGCGUGCAGGAUGACGGCCUU